CCGCGGUAAUUCCAGCUCCAAUAGCGUAUAUUAAAGUUGCUGCAGUUAAAAAGCUCGUAGUUGGAUCUCGGUAACACUGUUGUUUGUUGGUCUUCGGCUUGCAGCUCGGUGUUUGGGUUCUGCCCUUACUGCCGUAGCAGCUUGUCAAGCCAGCGAUGCGAUGGUGUCACCUUUCAGCCAUGUCUGUGGUGAAAUAUCCACAGGUGUAGGCGAGUGUCAGGCGGUGCUUUGCUUCAUGUGAGGCUCGUCGGCUCGUUUGCAUGCCUUUGGAUGCCCUUUAAAAGGUGUCUGUGGGCGGAUGGCACGUUUACUUUGAACAAAUUUGAGUGCUCAAACCAGGCCGAUGUUGCCUGAAAAGUUUUGCAUGGAAUAAUGGAAUAGGACUUCGGUUCUAUUUCGUUGGUUUUCGGAUCCGAAGUAAUGAUCAAAAGAGACAGGCGGGGACGUUUGUAUGGCUGCGCUAGAGGUGAAAUUCAUGGACCGUAGCCAGACAAACUAAAGCGAAAGCAUUCGUCAAGCAUGUUUUCAUUGGCCAUGAGCGAAAGUCANAGGCUCGAAGACGAUCAGAUCCGUCCUAGUUCUGACCAUAAACGAUGCCAACUGACGAUCC
rnacentral:rRNA from 1 species